rnacentral:misc_RNA from 1 species
GAUGAAGAACGUAGCGAAAUGCGAUAACUAGUGUGAAUUGCAGAAUUCCGUGAAUCAUCGAGUCUUUGAACGCACAUUGCGCCCCCUGGUAUUCCGGGGGGCAUGCCUGUCCGCGCGUCAUUGCUGCCCAUCAAGCACGGCUUGUGUGUUGGGUCGUCGUCCCCCCCUCCGGGGGGGGACGGGCCCUAAAGGCAGCGGCGGCACCGCGUCCGAUCCUCGAGCGUAUGGGGCUUUGUCACCCGCUCUGUAGGCCCGGCCGGCGCUUGCCGAACGCAAAACAACCAUUCUUUCCAGGUUGACCUCGGAUCAGGUAGGGAUACCCGCUGAACUUAAGCAUAUCAAUAAGCGGAGGA